GGCUGGUCCACGUCAGUGGUGUUUACAUACAACUAACUGAUCACACACAGUUAUAGAUUCCUUUGUUCCUUCUUCACUCCCACCACUUUACUUGACUACCUUUAA
ensembl:misc_RNA Y_RNA Y RNA